GGGGCUGUAGUAUAGCCUGGUUAGUAUUCCAGGUUUGGGACCUGGCGACCCAAGUUCAAAUCUUGGCAGCCCCA
rnacentral:tRNA from 1 species